CCAGCAUGGCCCAGAAGGUAGCUCAAGAUCAGACUGCAAUUUCUGUGAUGGAGAAGGAGGCUGUGACUUUUAACUGUACAUAUGAAAUCAGUGAUGAUAUUUAUUACUUAUUCUGGUACAAACAACCACCACGUGGGAAACCAACUUUCCUUAUUCGUCAGGACUCUUACAAUGAGCAAAAUGCAAUGGAGGGUCGCUAUUCCCUCAACUUCCAGAAGGCAUCCAGUUCCAUCCAGCUCACCAUCAAAGCUUCACAGCUCAUGGAUGCAGCAGUGUAUUUCUGUGCCCUGAAAGAGGCCACAGUGAGAGGGCUGCCUGUGGGAGUCCCACAAAAACCUCAAGGAGAGCUAGGGCCUCUGGGGGGAGACUCUACCACAGAAAGGGAGGAGCAGGGGCUGUGUCAGAAUAGGUGGGGGUUUGACAAGGAAACCUGA